CUUUUUAACUUUGGCAGUGUCUGUCAGUUGGGAAAGUUCAUCUAGAGCAACCUGUUGGCCUUCUACGUGAGAUGCUACAUCUUCCAGAUUUACAGGUUUUUCUCUGUCUACAACCAGAACAAUGAGUACUGCUGUGUCACUGUCUGAAAUGCCAAACUUUUUAAAUGCAUCUGAAAUGUUGUUGUUUGGUGAAAGGCUGAAAAUAAUUUCUGCGUUGAGAGAUCUGGUCUUCAUUUUACCUAUCGUUUGUAGAUGAACUGCUUUGUUGGCUGCCACAAGAACUUGAAAAGGAUCUACAAUCAUGGCGGGGUUGAGGAGCGCUCCUUCCACGGCCCCCUCCAUGGCUUUCUUUCGCAGUGCGGCCGCGUUUUGCACGCCGUUGAAGAGGAGGAGGGUGACGCUACGGCCGGGGAACAGCUCCAGCUCCUGCUGCAGCUCCAGCCCCGUCUCACGGGGCGUCUCCAUGCCGCCUGCCCUGCCCGAGGCUGGGCGGCCGGGGGCUGCUGCACGCAGGGCUACGGGACCCUUUCGGUCCGCUCUCGCGGCAAACAGAGCCCUCGCUGCAUGCACCCGCCUGCGGGUGCUGGUGAAGGGGGAAAAUCCGGCUGCGGCACCCCUAGAAACCCCCGAUCCGCCUGCGGCACUCCUCGCCCCUUCCUCCCGCACAGCAGCGGGAGCUUGCGCAUGGCUCCUCCUCUUCUUCCUCCUCCUCUUCCUCCGUCCAUCCUUCCUUCCUUCUGUCCGACCUCCCCUCCCCGGAAGGGCAACCCCUUCCCGGCCAGCAGCAUGGAGGGCGUGGAGGCGUACGGCUUCUCCGCCGCUAUGAGCGGCGCCUUCCUCGUCUCCUCCCUGCUCUUCGCGGCGUUCAACCGCCGCCUGCGGGAGCCCUACAUGGACGAGGUCUUCCACGUCCCCCAGGCACAAGCUUACUGCCACGGCCGCUUCCUGCAGUGGGACCCCAUGAUCACGACCCUGCCGGGCCUGUACCUGCUGUCUGUCGGCGUGGUGAAACCCGCAGCCUGGCUCUUCGGGUGGACAGGGGCCAUCGUGUGCUCCACGGGAAUGCUCAGGUUUAUCAACCUCCUUUUCAGCGCUGGCAACUUCUACCUGCUGUAUUUACUGCUCUUAAAGAUCCACCAGAAAAAUAAGGUACAGGCAAUGUUGGAUAAUUUUGUGCACUAGUAUAAACAAUUUCUUGACUGUGUGUGUUUACUUCACUACAUAUACGAGCUACUGUCAGUUUUAAAUAAUUUCAGGUAUGCCUACCAGUUUGGUCAUUCCUUUUCUCUUAAAAAAGUGGUACUUUUUCUCUGUCAGGGUGUGAUCCUCUAAAACUUUAGCAUUGUGUGUAACUAUAAGUAGUCCCAUUGAAAUACACAUAUAAAAUUAUUAGAUAAUAACUCAUCUGGUUGGUUAAAAUUCUGCACAAAACUUUAACCACUGAAUCCUGAAUGCAGCCCAGUAAGUUGUGUGUGAACCAAAAUGUGUUCUUCAGAAAGAUAACACAUUUGAUGUCAAUAUUUAGAACUGGAGAAUAAUACAAGUUAGAAGGGAUCUCAUGAGGUCUCUAGCACAAAGCAGGCAAGCCCUGAGAUCAGACCAGGUUGCUCAGGGUGGGGACUGGAAAAAUCUCCAAGGAUGGAGAGUGACUGCACAACCUCACUGGGCUACCUGUUUCACUGACUGGCCUCAUGAUGGAAAAGGUGGUGGUUUCUCUUUUUUUAUUUUUUAUUUUUUUUUUAAGUCCAGCCUGAACCUCUCAUUUCAAUUUAUACCCAUUGUCUCUUGUUCUCCCACCAUACACCAUUUGAGGAGUCUGGCUCCAUUUACCUCGCUUUACCUUAACCUCCUGAUAGGUACUGGUAGGCUGCUGUUCAGACCCCCCAGAGCCUCUGUUUUCCAGGCUGAACAAGGCCAGCUCCCUCAGCCUCUCUUCCCAGGCCAGAUGCUUCAGCCCUUGUCUAUCCUGGUAGCCCUUGUUCCAGUUUAGUGAUUGCUUUUUUGUAUCGUGGAGCACAAAACUGAACGUGGUAUACUAAGUGCAGCCUGACAAAUAUGGAGUAAAAAGGGAUAGUCACUUUCCUUGAUCUGCUGCUACCCUCUUGUUAAAGCAGCUCAAAAGGUUCUUGCUGUUCCUUUGCUGCCAGUGCAUGCUGCUGGCUCAUGUUCAUCUUGCUGCCUGCUGAGACCCCCAGGUCCCUUUCCAAAUAGCAGCAGAUCCUCAGCAACUUCAUGCUCAGCACGUAUCAUUGUAGGGCAUUCUUUUUUUCCCAGAUAUAGGCAUUUACAUUUGCUCUUGCUGAAUGUCGUAAGAUUUCUGUUGCACCCUUUCUCUGGCCUGUGUACGUCACUCUGGGUGGCAGCCCUUCCCUUGGGCAUACUGCCAAAGUCCCCACAGGUCAGCAUCACCUGCAAACGUGAUGAAGUUAUUCUCUGUUGUUUCAGAUCAUUAAGAUGUUAAAUAGGACAGGUCCUAGUAUAGGUCUCUGCAAUAUUCUUCUUACCUUUGGAUAGAGUGAUCCAGCCAGUGUUUAUCUGUCUAGUUGUCCACCUGUCCAGACCAUAACAGUCCAACUUGGAUACAAGACUGUUGUAUUUUUAAAAUGGUGGAGUAUCUGCCACUGUCAUAGGUAAAUUGCUACAGUGGUUAAUGGCCUAUUCAAAAGCUUUUGUCUUAGUGAAAGCUCUUUAGUUUCUCUUUUAACUGUGAGAACAUUUUUUCUCGUUCUCUGAUAAUUCAAGAGUUCCUUUACUGUAAAGAGAAUUUCCUCUGAUGUGUUUUCUUACAGAAGACUCUUCAUGUUUAAGCACAGGAUAAAACACAGAAUUAGGUCAAAUUCAAUAAAUUGUUUCUUUUUCUGGUACACUGAAGGUUAUGUUUGGAGGUGGGAAUAUAAAUGUAAGAAAACAAAAGGUUUCUUGAUAGUAAUAUAAACAUGAGAAAAUGUGCUUGUGUUGUCGCCACUUCUUUGAGCUCUGAGCGUUUUCUGUAUUCUCUUUUCUGUAUGGUGGUGACCGUCUGUUUCAUCUCACACUACAUCCUUCAGGAACAUGCAGCAUUUUUAACACUGUGAAUUGCAUCGUGUCACGUAGUGAGUGGCAUAAUUGGGAGAAGUUUUUAACUGUAUGGUCUCCUACCUUCUUUAAAGUUUCUUUUUUAACCUGUGAAUUAUAAUGAAAAUAAAAAACAAAAGCUGCACCAAAGAUUAGAGACUUGAACUGACUGUUUUGUGUGCUGGCCUCAAAAGAUGCAAUAGUAAAAGCACAGAAUGAUGUGUUCUGCUGUCUCACAAACAGAACCUGGUGAUGAGUUUGCAGGGGCAUAAAGCACUGUUUUUUUCCCCCCCUUUUCCUUUGCCCAUUAUUGUAGUUCUUUUAUCCUAGGUAUGGGAGCAGUUAUACUCCCUCAAUAAUUUUAAUACCACAAAUAUGUGAACACUUGACUUAUGAAAGGAGUUGGUGUAUUUUCUUCGCCAUAUUUUUAUCUCACCAGCAAUAAUGUGCCAUGUUCUCAUUUGUCUUUUACCAUUGUAUUGUCCAGCACUCUAUAUUAACAUAGCAGGAGCUUAACAAAACUGUAGCGUGUGUGCUUGUGCAGCAAUGGAAUCGAAGAGCAUUAGAGAUGCUAUAUUGUGGUAAUUGAAUUCUCACGAAUAAUGUGUAUAUAUAUUUAUUGGAUGUUACUAAUCACAUUUUUCUGCUUUUUCUCUAGGCUGUGUCUGGUUUCCAGAGAAUUUUGUCUUCAUUAACUCUUGCAAUAUUUCCCACCCUUUAUUUUUUUACAUUCCUUUAUUAUACGGACCCAGGAUCAGUAUUUUUUACUCUCUUUGCAUAUUUAAUGUGCCUUUAUGGUAACCAUAAAGCUUCAGCUCUGCUUGGAUUUUGUGGCUUCAUGUUUCGCCAGACAAAUAUUGUGUGGACAGUUUUUUGUGCUGGAAAUGUUGUUGCAGAGAAGCUAAAUGAAGCCUGGAAGACAGAGUUACUGAAAAAGAAAGACGAAAAGAUCUCUGCCAUGAAAGGAUCAUUUUCAGAUCUGAUCAGAGUAUUGAAGUUUCUUACUGAAUAUCUUGUAUCGCCUAAAAACUUAGUUACACUUGUUGCUUUAACUUGGCCGUAUAUCAUAUUAGUAACUGCGUUCUUUGUUUUUGUCUUUGUCAAUGGUGGGAUAGUUGUUGGUGACAGAAGUAGCCACGAAGCCUGUUUGCACUUUCCUCAGCUGUUCUAUUUUCUGUCCUUUACUCUCUUUUUUUCCUUCCCUCAUUUACUGACCCCUACUAAAAUCAGCAAAUUCCUGCUGUCGUUGCGGAAACACCCUGUGCGGUACGGCUUAAUCACCGUCAUCUCUUUAUUCCUGGUUUGGAAAUUUACCUACGUUCAUAAGUAUUUACUAGCAGAUAACAGACAUUACACGUUCUAUGUCUGGAGAAAAAUCUUCCAAAGGCAUGAACUUGUUAAAUAUGCGUUAGUUCCAGCUUAUAUAUUUGCUGGCUGGAGUUUUUUUGAUACACUAAAAACAAAACCGGUAUUCUGGACCUUAAUGUAUUUUGUAUGUUUAUUAGCAGUCACCGUUCCUCAAAAGCUGCUAGAAUUUCGUUACUUUAUUUUGCCAUUCUUAAUAUACAGGCUCAAUAUUCCGUUUCCCUCUCUUUACAGACAACUCCUUGAGUUGGCUUUUUAUAUUGUUGUGAACGUAGUAGCUUUUUCUCUUUUUCUAAACAAAACAUUUCAAUGGCCAAAUAGCGUGGAAGUCCAGAGGUUUAUGUGGUGACUUUUUUUUUUUUAACCUUCAUACCCUUAGGAAAACCCAGUACCAUUUCAAGACUGUGGACUCUGGAAUGAAGUACUGUGUUUUGCAUUAUGAACUUUUUUUUCCCCAGUGAGGAUUGGGGAAGGAAGGAAGUUGCUUAUGUUCUUGGAACUGAAUGUGAGGUCUGAUAUCUCGUAAAGUGAAGGUAUUAUAAAUAUUGAAUUUCUGAGCUCCUGGAAUUAACAAAUUCAGUAGGAGAGGAAAUUUGAGAACACUUUCCAGUAAUUAAUGUGAAAUACGGGGGAUGUUUACAGUCAUUUUGGAUUAUAAUAUGUUCUCUAAUGUACUUGAAGAUAUGACAGUUUAUGUUUCAGAGCCUUCUCUUUAAAACAGAGUAUCUAAGUGUUUAACCUUCUUGUUACUUCUGGGUGCAUGUUUACGCAUUGGAACGGGCCGCUUCCAUCUACGGCUGCUAAAGGUCAAGUAUACAGAUCAGUGUUCUGGCUCUGAGCCCUUCUCUGUACUAACACCAUGAAGAGUGUGCUUGGCUCGGAUUCUCCUGUCCACCGUCUUUGCGACCCUGUUUCUUCUAAGGAAACCUUAAAGCUACUCAAUGAGUAGGUUUAUUUAUAUUGUGUUUGAAACAUUUGCCAGGUCACUGCUUUCUUUUUGCCCUGUUGCCAGUAUGGUAAUUUGUUGACAACGUGUGUACAAUAGGGAAAGCAAUUUUCCAUCACUCCCUAUUUGGCUUUAUAUCAAGUUGACAGGCCAAGAGAAGCCUGAAUUGGCUUGCUUUUCAAGCAUCCAGCGUGGUUCUUGCAGAAGCCUGGAUGCUGUGCAGUGAUUUUAUUGUGAUGGAUUUUGAGGGGAAGUCUUGCAUGCCUUCUGCAUCCAGUUUUGUUUUUCUAUAACAUUACAAAAAUGUAAACAAGGUAAAGAGCAUAUGCGUGUUUCAGCGCAACUGCAUUUGUGUCCUCAACUUAUAGUACUGAACGAGUUGGAAGGGUAACGUGGGAAGUGAUGGGGCCCUGGAUUAAAUUUUGACCUGCCUUCCAGAUCUCUUUAUUUAAAAAAAAAUUUUUUUUUGGCUUGUGUAGAGGAGCUGUUGUUCAUCCCCUCGACAAAAUGAAAACAUUCCUGUACUUCUGUAGGGCAUGGCUGUUUUAUUUUGUCCAUGAUGUGUAUCAAUGUUGGUAUUUGAAUGCCUUAAAUUAUCAACGCUGUUAAUGAUGAGAGUGCUUAUGCUUCAUACUUACCCUCAACUGAGAUAGCAGCCAUGUUUUCAGUGAAAAGAAAUGAGUUUAGAUGAAUACUAUUUAAUGCAACUAUACAUUUCUUUCAUAAAGAAAAGUGAAUGCAAAAGGCCCACAAAAUUUAGAGCACAAUGCCUUUCUAAUGACCAUGUUACAAGAUACUAGAAAAAUUAUAUAGAGAGAGGUUUCUGUGAGCUGUUUUACUAAUUUAUUUGCUUUUUAAGAAUAUUAUAAGACAACAUAACAUUUUAUCAUGGGAUUUAUCAAUGUACUUAUAUUUUGAUUUAACUGUACAAUUCUUAAUGUUUUUUGCUAAGUUAAAUCAGGCUGAGUUGAAAUAAGUUUUCAUAAAUAGUAAAAACUAUGAAUUAUUAAAACAUGAAAGGGUAAAUUUGUUUUUGGAGUAAAGCUGUAUUUUCACUUUUGCUGAUGAGCCAGAGGGACUCUGCAGGUAACAUUCAAUGUUAGUCUGAUUCAGUUUCAUAAAUCAAGGUGGUUGUAAUUACAUCACGAUUAAUCACAAAGAAAGUGUUUCCUAGACAUUUCACAAAUAUCGGUAGCAGUGGCAGUUUUAAAAUCUAGGUAUAAGAAUUAGUUUAACAUACUGUGAUAAUCUUGGAGCAUCUCUCUUUUGGAAAAUUCAUCUUAGUAUUUUGCUUUUGAAAUAUUUCCAUUGUAGCUGUUUGUAAUGCAUGACCUAUUCGUUGUAAAGGCAUGCAGAAAGGGCUGUGUUUAUCCUGGUUUUGUUGCCAUGGUCUUCUAGCUUCAGGAGGAAUUACUUCUGGUUAAUUCCUGCGCUGGUGUAAAUUGGCAAUGAAAUUACUUCCAACAGCAUUAAAACAAUUAUUACUGUAAAUUUUAUUAAUCGGCUAUCCGUUUAGAGAAAAAAGCUGCAGUAACUUGUUGAAAUGUUAUGUCUGAGAUAAAAAAAAAUGUAGCUAACAGUUUUAUAAUUGCUGUUGACAAAUAAAGGCUCAGGUUCAGUUUUUCUGAGACAGAAAGGUGAUUUUUCAAUAAUUCUCACAAGAAGCCAAGCACAGAACUGAAUAGCCACAGUGUGGCUGAAUUGUUUUGAGGUGAAAAGUACAAGAAAAGUAAUUGAAAACUUUUGAAGUUACAUAUAGGUGGUUAUUUGGGAAGGCAGGUAGAUUGUUUGUAAACAGUUCAUAAUCUGUAUUUUCUGUUAUUUCUGAGUGUUCUGUAUUGGUUUUGUUCCUCUGAAGUCCUUUGACAACAUGUUUGUGUUCAAAAUUAGUAUGAAUUUUACACCAAAAGCAACAUGUGCAUGCUGAAAUAUUUUUUUUACCUAUUACUUUGAUUGCAAGUAGAUAAACUAGAUGGCUUACUUCUGUUAAAAAUACCGUAGGAAAACGUCUUCUGUAGUCUAGAGGCAGACUGUUGAUUUUUGUUUUGUUAAUGCUGGUUUGCAUUUUUUCACAAGGUGGCAGUCUUGUGCCGUCCUGUUGGGGUGACCAACUGCUUAAUGUAAUGCUGCUUGAAAUCACAGCAUCAGGUUUCUUAGCCUGACUAUUUCCUGAGAAUUAGAAAACUUCGAGUUCUGUCAUGGCUGAUUGCUUGUUUCAGUAACUAGUUUAGCUAAAAUGUCCUUGUUUUUAAUUAUCAAUUUAGAGCGUAUGAUAAGUUUUAGAAGAAGCACUGGUUUUGCUAUCUUUAAAAUGUAUUUGAUGUUUUUAUUUAUUUAUCGAGUUUUCGUGUCUGGUCUUAGAGAACAAAAUGAAACUUAAAAGCUUUCUGUUGACAUGAUGUCAGUAUCUUAAACAAUAUAGUUGCUUAGAAAGUUAGACGGAUUUCCUUCUGCUAUUUUAUUACUGACUUUCACAGAUUCUGAUUUUCUUCACAUGGUCUAUUCAUUGCCAUUUAAAAUUAAAAAAAUAAAAAUAAAUUGGAGGACAAACCGAGGAAAGCAAAGUAAUUAUACUUUUGAGACUGACACAUGGUGAUUUUCUGAAAUAUUCGCUCUUUUUGUUAGAUGAUGCGCAUAUGAAACACAAAUGUUCAAAUGUCUGUUAGCCCUGUAGUAGCUGACACGCUGCAUUUUAAAUGCAUCAUCUACUUUUUGUGUCAUGAAAAAGUCUAUAGCCAGAGUCCAUGAAAAUAACUGUUUCCAAUUACCUCAAAUUCUUUGUUUCUAUUCACUGCCCUGUUGGUUUUUUUUUUUCUUUCCUUAAAAAAGCUUUGCUUUCCUUGUUGGAUUGGAUAUGCUUUUUAUUUUUGAGUCAGUGACAUUUGUAUGUCAGCUGAGACGUCUUUUAUAGAAAAAAAAAUCCCUCUUAAAAGUAUGCUUUAGAUGAAUCCAGAGAAUUGGUUUUUACUAGCAAACAUCAUUUUGCAGACAAAAGGAAUCUCUCCAUGAGACAGAAAUGCUAACCUAGCCAGCAACGUGUAGCUAAAAUGUCCUCAAUUUGCGAGUUUUUGUCACCGGGCUUUGUGCUUAAUCUCAGAGCGUGCUCAGGACCUCAUGCUGUUCCUUAGCUCCAGGGAAAGUUGGAAUUUCAGGAGCAGGAAGCAAAAGGGAAAGGAUUGGUACAGACGAUUGCUGUUGCAACACUACCAGCAGCAGAAAUGGAUGGGACGCUCUGGGGCAGUGCUGCAUUUAGCAGUGCUCUGUAGCUUGGUUUUAUGUGUGUGGUGGUAUGGGAGAGGGGUUUGCCAUACCCGAGGGAAAAUGUCUUCUCCAGCUGGAAGGAGAGGCUGCUUGUUGCUGGAGCUGGCCUGAUCACUGGUAGAACGAUCUUGCUAAAUUUGGCAUUUAACUGGUUUAUCAAAUGAUAUUUCUGGUACUUCAGUGUGGAUCUAUAACCUGUCCUUAAUGUUUUCAAGAAAUGUUGUGAGCCUACUUGAAUUGCACCUCUGUGUCAGUAGUGGGGAAGGGGUUGCUUUUGUUUUCAGAGCAUUCAUUGUCCAGAUACUCUGCUGUUUUUAUUAAGCAACAAUUGUCGUAUCUUAAAAAUUAAACACUUUGAAAGC